CUUCCAUAUGUGGGCCUGAAACCAUCCAUCCAUUUUAAUGCUCUUUAUUUCUGGACCGUGGGGCAAAGCUGGAGAAAAGCCCCACAUCAGGCAAACUUGCAACAGAAACACCAAAAUGAUGUGCUUCUUGAUGUGAGAAAGGAGCAUGACUGGGGAACCAGGCAGCCAGCAGCAGAGCAGAAGAGCGCCAUUUCCCCGCCAUAGGCCACAAACUCAUCUUCUCCUCGCCCCUCCCACUGCUCCUCACCCCCCCCCGCACCCCCACCUCACGGUCCAGAGCUCCUCGAGGACAAGAGGGAGAUGCAGAUCCCAAUUGAUCACUGGAGAUCUACUUUUGGAUCAUCAAAGUGUAACACAAAGGGUCACGGGUGAGCCGGAACAUAUCCCAGGCCAGCUGACUUCAGGCGAAAGGCAGACGACACCAAGGACUGCACAACCACUCAUUUACAUAUUGACACCGUCAUUGGGAAGGUAAGUGAAGUCAUGCUGCCAGCACCAAACUAAGAUGAGUGGACCACAUCUACCAUUAAUGAGUAUGAAAUAAUUUCAACAUUCUCCUAUUUUUGUUCUGGUAAUGAGAGCAAACAGUGAGGCUGUAACUUUGCACACUCAACAAAAACUGGUCAAUUCACAUGCAGUUUGUGGUUUAUCAAUGUCUGACUAUUUGAAUUUGUGUCAACAGUGAACACACUUCCCUAAAUACCAUCACCUAGUUUGAGACAUGCUUUACGUUGACUUUUUUUUUCUUCUAUUUUUCAGGUUUUUUAAUUUUUUUUUCCAUAGCAAUUAACUUUUUGCAAUCUAAGAUAAUAAUAAAAGCCAGGUAAUGAUAGCGCUCAGAGUAUAAACACUGUUCAUUGUUAAAUUGACAUAUUCACCAUCUCACUUUUUUUUUUUUUUUUUUGCUUUCCAUUACUCAGUUUUUGUGCUAAGACCCAAGCCCUGUCUACUGUAAAACUAUUGCUUUGGCAUCAUCUUGUAGCAUCUUGGUGCCGAGGCACUGUAAUCAAGUGAGGGGAAAUGCUUCAUUUAGUCCGGCAAUAGCCCUCCCUGUCAAAUAAGAAAGAGUAUUGCUAUAUGUCAUCUAUGGGCAACUCUAAAAUAUCUUGGGAGGGGGUGUCGAUUACUCUUGGAUUUUUGCUUUUCCGCAAAUAGCGGAAAUAAAAUAAAAAGGAAAAAAAUCCUUUCUGCCAUGAUAGGUAAAAGUACUAUAUCACAUAUAAAAGGGUAAAUUUGUCAAGGCAAUAUCAUACCAAUCCAUAACAUGAAACUAAUGAAUAGAAUGUUGAACUUAUUUUUUGUUUUGUGUUUCACCAGCCUUAAGUGACACAUCUAACGAAAAACCUGUCCAGCAUAUAGAUUGGAAGAGAAUACUAAAAUGUAUACAUACUACACCCACGACAUACUACAAGGGCUACAAUUUUGAUAAAUAUUUGACAGUGGUCAAGGGAGGUUCAAUAAAAAUCAUUUAAAUCCCCCUCUUAUGUGUAGCACCUCCUCUCGAGUUAGUCGUCGUUUCGUUUAUUAUUACAGCCUGUCACUGUCUAAUGAAUUAUGGUGUUGUGGGUGUCAUGACAGCUGAUCAAGGGUGUUGCAAUCUCCUCUUUCAAGGUGUCAAUAAACAGCACAGCCUGCAAGCAGUAUGGCAUGACAAUUUGUAUUGUUCUGCGGGCAUAGUACAUUUAUUUUCAUCUUGAUCCACCUGGAUCGCUUUACAAUAUACUGUAGUUCUUUUUAAUUAGCUCAGAUUGAUUAAAAUCCAUCGAUUCUGCAGCCUUAUUUACAUUCACCCUGUCCGACACUCUUCGUCCUUAUUUUUCACAAUUAAUUGAAGAGCACGGCAGUUUGGAGGGCGAGGCACCGGUGACAAUUAGUAAUCAAAGCGGCGGUUGAAAUUAUUUAUGGAGGCAAAGUGACAAGUUUUUGAUGAGUGUGUUCUGCCUUGUGCGUUGAUGGAUACUUGACAGUGGAGCUGCUGACUUCAAGUGCCACAAGAUGAAAGA